GCGUCUAUUGUGUAUGUUCAUGUAACGCGUGUAUGUGUUCGAGGUGGUGUGAACAUGUGCGGAGAAAAACGUCCAUUAAUUGGAAAUUGAAUUUCAAACGACGAAGAGAACUCCAUAAAGAUCCAAGGAACAAAUAAUGAAAUUAAUUAAAAAAUGUUGAACCCCUUUGCAAGUAUCUAAUUACGAAACUAAUUACGAAACUUUUGUUCUGUUACAGAAUUGAAAAAGAUGCGACUUUUAUCAUAAUAUUGAAUUCGUAGCUCGAUUCGAAGGGUAUCGACGAUUGUGGGGUGGAAUUUCUUGCAAAUAAGGAGUAAUAAAAGAAGUCACGUGAGAUUCGUACUGUCACAUCGAAGGGGAUGAAAUUCAGGUACGGAAAGUUAAUGGCUAUUCUAUCGAUAAAUAUUACAAUGUGAAAACAAAAUUCAAACAUGUAAAUUUCGAAGAAGAAGAUCCAAAAAAACGAAUACAAAUUUUAGGAAUAUUUGUAAUUGGAGUGAGUAUUAUGUUUAACUACGUGGUAUUCUUACCAAUGACCGUAAUUUAAAAAUCCUCUCAGCUUUCGCUUUAUUGCAAUAAAAUUCCAAAGGCAAUGGAACCUAAGAAGUCAUUGAAUAUAUAUCUCGUCGGAUUAACAUGUUUCUGGAACUUUUAAUACAUUAAAAGUCGAAGAAUCUGUUUCUUUUUUUUUUAAUUUUGAUGGUACAUUCUUGUAAAGGACUUUUAUUUCAUUCUGUGAACUUGUAUAAUCUUUUUACAUAUUUUCUGGCUAUGACCCAUGUAGUUUUUAAAGUGACGUAAAGACCUGGAUUCAAGCACGGUAAAACAGAGCAGACUGUCGAUAUAAAACAGACCAAGCUGCUGAUAAAACAGGAUUCUCUAUCGAUACAACAAAGCGUUCUGUUUACUCUAUGCAUUCUCUGUUUUAACAUACAUGCUCUGCUUUACCAACAAUCCCUCACAUUCAGCGUGUCUAAACUCCAGAAUCCAAGGGCUAAACCAUUACUUUGAUAUUUCAACAUUCCUUGACUCGGAUCAACCUAGACGAAUACUAAUACUUCCUAUUUGAAACAGAAAAAUCUACUGAAGGAACAAGCAUUAACAUCUGGAGUUUCAAGCACUCAACAAGAUCCAACGUCUUAUUCGCUUGAAGAUGAAUUAAAAACGCACUCGAGCCUGUCACGGAUACUUGCAAAGUCUUAUUUAAUGGAUAAACGAAGCCGCAGCAGAUGAUCUACUUGUCAUUUCGAGAUCUCUUCGUCCUCCAAUCAGCAUCCUCGAAUCAUCCCUCAAGAAAGGUCACCAAACGUCCCUUUCUUGUAACGGAUCAACCAUGAAAGGGCAGUCUGGAAGAUCAGCGAUUCAGAAAAAGCGUCCAUAGAAGAUUCGACCAUCGAGCACGGAUGAGAGCAACGGAUCCCAUUCGCGGGGGGAAAGGGUGCCGUUUGCAUCCCGGAAAAACUCGAUCACCGGGCUGGCUAGCGCCAAUUUUUCUUACCCGUUCAGCGUAAAAUUACGUUCAGCCCUGCUCAGAGCUCGGGAGGGUCACGCGAGCGUCGCUACAAGAUACAAGUGCAGGCGUCUUCGGAGUCCCGAAGGAUCGGCGGGGGCAUCGAAGCGGGAACUCAUCUUCACGCCAGGGCGAGCCCAAUUACGGCGUCAACUCGUUACCCGAUAUAAUGAUAUCCGAGGAGCAACGAGCUCGCGAUUGCCUUUUUUCCACGAACCCUUCGAUUGGAAAACUACCCAUCCUAUUAUCCAGGAUACCAGGUACAGAAUCACUGCGAAUGCUCCACAAACGCCUGAGAACACGUCGAACACGAUACUCUGCUUUUCUACUUCUUUUUUAAAUCAAAGAGUGUCGUAAGUGUUUGAGCACUUAACACGAUGUACACACACGGUCUAGAUAUGCGCUACU